rnacentral:rRNA from 1 species
UACGUAGGGCGCAAGCGUUAUCCGGAAUUAUUGGGCGUAAAGGGCGCGUAGGCGGUCACGCACGUCCGUUGUGAAAUCGCUCGGCUCAACUGGGCGGGGUCAGCGGAUACGGCGUGGCUGGAGCAAGCUAGGGGGCAAUGGAAUUCCCGGUGUAGUGGUGGAAUGCGUAGAUAUCGGGAGGAACACCAGUGGCGAAGGCGGUUGCCUGGAGCUUUGCUGACGCUGAUGCGCGAAAAGCGUGGGGAGCGAGUCCGG